UGACCUCAAAUCAGGAUG
rnacentral:rRNA from 1 species